GACGUAGGGCGCGAGCGUUGUCCGGCUUUAUUGGGCGUAAAGAGCUCGUAGGCGGCUUGUCGCGUCGUUCGUGAAAACCCGGGGCUCAACUCCGGGCUUGCGGGCGAUACGGGCAGGCUAGAGUUCGGUAGGGGAGACUGGAAUUCCUGGUGUAGCGGUGAAAUGCGCAGAUAUCAGGAGGAACACCGGUGGCGAAGGCGGGUCUCUGGGCCGAUACUGACGCUGAGGAGCGAAAGCGUGGGGAGCGAACAGG
rnacentral:rRNA from 1 species